GUAGGAUGCAAGCGUUGUCCGGAAUUACUGGGCGUAAAGGGCGCGCAGGCGGCUUGGCAAGUCGAGUGUGAAAUCCCUUGGCUUAACUAAGGAAUGGCGCUCGAAACUACCUCGCUAGAGGACGGGAGAGGGAAGUGGAACUCUCGGUGUAGGGGUGAAAUCUGUAGAUAUCGAGAGGAACACCGGUGGCGAAGGCGGCUUCCUGGCCCGUAACUGACGCUGAGGCGCGAAAGCGUGGGGAGCAAACAGGAUUAGAUACCCUGGUAGUCCACGCCCUAAACGAUGGGCACUAGGUGUGGGCGGUAUUAAUCCCGCCUGUGCCGUAGCUAACGCAUUAAGUGCCCCGCCUGGGGAGUACGGUCGCAAGGCUG
rnacentral:rRNA from 1 species